rnacentral:rRNA from 1 species
GCCACAUUACUCUUGAGGUGAAAUGCUUACACUUUCAUUUAUAGACCAAAUAAUGUUUAAUUUAUAAUUUGUAAUUAUAAUAUUAAAUCUUAAUCUAACCUAUGGCAUUCAUCAUUUACUGCAAAGACUACUUGGGUAUCUAAUCCUGUUUGUGCUCUGUGCCUUCGUCCUUUAACGUSAGUKUCUACAUAGAGGGCUGCCUUCGCCUUUACCGAGUCCCUUUGGUAUCAUAGAAUUUCAUCUCUCCUCCUCAAGUACUGCCCUCUUAUAUAAAACUCUAGUCAAGUACUAACAUUAUAGAAGCUAUAUUGACCGUCUAGGUACCCUUUAAACCUAAUUAAGAUGAAUAACACUAGUCUCUUACGUAUUACCGCGACUGCUGGCACGCAAUUAGUCAAGACACGAUAUAUAUVCWGUVAUUAUCAAUAUAUAAMCAAAGCUUUAUUCAAUUUUAAUACAAUCCUAUAGAUCAUAUUCAAAGAUAUGAUCAAGAUAGGACUUG